ACAACCUGGUCUAAUGGGAGGUGUCCCAGCCCACAGCAGGGGAGUUGGAAUGAGAUGAUUUUUGAGGUCCGUUCCAACCCAAACCACUGUAUGAUUCUAUGAUGCUAAAGUUUGCUUUCCUUUAUUCCUGUCAUAUCAGCCUCCAAAUUGCAGCUACUGCUCUACAUCAAAACAUAUCACAGUAAUCUGGAAGGAUAGUGAUGCAUCAGGCCUCUGCUGCCAGUUUUUCAUACAAAUCUGCAGCAUGGCUAUAUAAACCUUUUCUCUGGAGUUGGAGAUUGUUCUGCACAGUUGUUAUCCUGGAAAGGGGUACAUUCCUUCAAACUUUGGCCUGACCAGCAGUUUUUCACCUCAAACUCUGUUGGUUGAUAUUGCCCACAGCUCUCCAGGUAAUGUGGUUCAUUGCACAUCUCUCAACACCUCACAGCAGUCCAGUCCAGUCCAGUCCACACACACACACACGCGGUUAACAAGUGCUAGGUAGCAAAGUAGAAAUAUGUGGUCCCUUCUGAGCCUCUGAGAUGCUUCUGCUUAUAAACUAGUCUUUCUGAUGGUCAGAGUAUUUUCCAGGCAUCUCUGUGAAUAAACACACUUUUCUGCAGGUAUCCUGCAAAAUAUCCAUUUCUCUCACUUUUCUGAGAGUCUGGAAUUACAGCCUUCACUUGCUGUUAAACAACAUUCAGGGUAAAACAUUUCCUGGCAAUUCAACUAUUAUAAACUAUAUAUAAAGGGGCAAGAAGAACUGGUGACAGCUUUGUGUGACCCCUGUCCAAUGUCCCAGUAGGCAAGACAGACAGAAAUGAGCUGGGCUGAUAUGCAGCUAUAAUAGAGAUCAAUCAAAAGUACAAAGGAGUUGUCUAAUUUUCUGUGAAACAAGGUCAAAAUGUUUGGUUAUUGUGAUUUAGGAAAUAUAGCUCUCUAAAAGAUGGGGGAAAUAUUUUCAGAUGUGUGCAUUUGAAGUAUUAUACAAUAGACUACAAUUAGUAAUAUAUACGUUAUAAUAAGUAAAAUGAAAACAUACACUUCCGUGCUGACUAGUCUGAGAUAGUUGGCUUAGAUGUUAUAAAACAACAGCUGUAAAAACUGACCAACUUUUAUGCGUUAAAAUAAUGUUUUCAGGACAUGCUUAAAGGAUUUACAGACAGCACAUACAUGCCUGUAAAUUUCUGGACUGGAAUUAAGAAGCUGAACUAUGGAAUAAAAAUUGUACACCUGUCCUAUUUUAUAUUUGGAUGUAUUACAUUACAGGAUACAAAGUAAGAGAUUGCUGAACAGCAGUUUCAAAAAAAUACCAUGAUCUGAAUGAAUAAAUACCUCUCAGAAGCUACAGCAUAAAUUUUUCAGUUUGUUGUACAUCUGCUGCUGCUAAAAUAACCUGCUGUGUGGGGUGGGUGAAGAACCGGACUAGUCCAACUAGCUGCAGUGCUGCCCAGGGUCAUAUUGCUGCUUACAUUCCCACACCUCCAGCCAUGCCAACUGUGUAAUAUCAACAGAAAGAGAAAACAGAGUCAUCUCCUUUAACAAAGAGCACUGUUAGCUCUGGCAACACUGUAAAUCAUGUCUUGAAUGGCCACCUAAAUAAGAAAAAUAAAGAACUGAGGACAAAAUGGUUGUAUACACAUAACAGUCCUCACGUGACAAGUAAGGAAACAUUGAAAAAGUUUGUGAGGACUUGAUUCCAGUAAAAAAUCAUGUAAGUCAAGAUUUAUUUAUCCCACUUCCACAUCAAAAAUAACCCAGCAACAAAAAAAAAAAAAAAUCCCUAGAAAUUCCCAGCACCGCUAGGCCUUGUACCUACAACUGAUAAGACAUAAAAUGCAUAAUCUUCAUAAAGAGGAUUAACUGCAAAAGUUUGAGUCAUAUAGAAGAACAGUAUUAGCCAAUCAUCUUCAAAGACUAAGGAAGAAAGAGUUGAUUAUUACAUAUUAUUUAUCUUUAAAGGAAUUGUCUUUCUUUUUUUUAUUUGGUGUCUCUUUAAGUCCUAUAACUUAAUUUUAUGCAUACCCAGACACUUCAGUUCUUCAGUGCUGUACAUCUAUCCUAAAAUCUUCUAAUCGAAAAUCAUCUAUUAAAUCCAUCCCUGAUAUCUACUGCAUAUGGCAGAGUUGUGGUAAGAUUUAAGUGAACGCAGUCUAAUUUUUAUUUGUUUCUGAGGUAGCAAUUAAGGUGAACAUUGCUUCCAAAAACCUCUGAACAUCAAAACUAGCAAAACUAAGAGAACUAUAAGCAUUCAUUGAAAAUGUGACUCCUUCUUGUCUAGGGACCUUAAAGGAUACUGUAGUUAGAUGCAAACUGAAGACAGCCCAAUCAGGGGGAAAAGUUGUGAUUUUCUACCUAACCUUUCCACUUAAACUGUUUGGGAUUAAUUUCUUACAGGCAGUUCUGUUAAACAAAACUUGGUAAAUAUCUUCCCACUGAAAUGGUGAUUAUUACAACAAAACAAAUUGUAAGUCAGGGGCCUUUGACAAAUAGCAAAAACUUCUAUCAAGUUCCUAAAGAGACUGGAGUCAUUAACAUUACAGUCAUCACCCUUGGCAAGAGAGCAACUAGGAACAAAGAAGAAUUAUUACUAAAAGAACAAUAAAGUGGUUUAGAUACAUCAAGAUCAAUUAGGCAUUAGUUUUAAUAUAGCCUAAAGUUAAAAGCUGUAAAACAACAGAGAAUUUUCCCAUUUGCAUCAUUUAAAGUUCACAGCCCAAGGAAAAUACCAUGUAUAAAGAAACCAGAGAGCCUUCUGUGAAUUGUGUGUCAAUUAUCUAAUUACUUUUGAUAACAUCAGGUGCAAACCUUCAAGGAAAAAGCUUUAAAGAGCUCUUGCAGGUACCAGUGUAUUAGGAGAGUAAUAAGACUUCUUGUAGGGAGAAGAGAAAGGAGGAGAAACUGCAUCUUGCUUUGAAAUUAAUGUCCUGUCCCUGGUUGCAAGAAUGUGAGAGACAAGAGUUGCACAACAGUUACUGGAGCAUGUUAUCAACUCUAAAUACAGCUUCUCAGCUUGGGAAGAGAGACAGGGAGACUGGUUUCUACUUUGACUCUUACUUCCAGGCUGAGAUGCUGUCAUGUAUUCCUGCUAGUCGAGAAGGAAAGAAUCCAAGUCUGGCUCCUCCCUCCUGCCUCCCUCCUUUGUCUGCAAUGUCUGUGGAUGGGGAAGAGUGAGAUCCUGCUUUGGGAUCCUGCUGCCUGGGCAGGUCCUUGCAGAGGUAGCAGAGCUUCUCUGACAGAAGAAGUCAGCAACAAGAUCUCAGCCUACAGACAUAGCUCCACCUUAGGGCUUGCAUAGGGCAGCUGCCCUUGAACUCCAUCACAAAAGGCCUGUGCACCACCAGCUUGGUCAAUAGCUCCAAACAUUAGCUGCUCAGUGGUGGUGUUUGUAUCCGUGCUUCUCUGCCUGGUAAUUCCCUGCACCAGCUGGAGGACUGUUGCCUGCCUGUAACUGAGAUAAUCUUCAGCUAGCUUAUACCUAAAGACUGGACAACAUGCUGUCCCAGCCAGGUGGGAAGAUGUGUCUGCACUCCUGGUCAGCACCAGUAUCUCUGAUUUUUGAAAGAAAAUUGUAGUGACUUCUUCAGCUGGAAGCCUUGGUGAGUAGAUGCAGAAGAGGGUGUCUGGUGGCAUGUUUGUAUUUGGAUGAUUGCUCUUCUGCCUAAGUGAUUUACAAGUGACAUUCACCACUGUUUUAAUUAAACAUGCCUUUUGAUUUAGAAUUGGUAAGCUUCUACUUCAAGGAAAUGCCAGGGUAAACUUUUAUUUUGGCAGGGGGAAGCAAAACUGGUAAGUAGGAUAGGGUCUCCUAACAGACAGAGAAGUGGGAAGAGUUCAGAAAGUGCAGCUAGGGCACACUAACCUCGGUAGUAGCAACUUCAAACUAAUCCCUUUGCCACAGAGGUUGGCUCUGUAGCUACUGCCUGAACUAGAGGAGAUGUGCACUUUGUUUGGAUUACUUGGUUAUUGUCAUCUCCUCAGUGUUUCCCACAACUCCAGUGGAGAGCAGGAAACCAGUCGUCAUUGGCAUCCUCCUGAAGUGCCUCCUUAGGCUAUCCCACAUGCUUCAGGUGACCCAGGAGGGUCCAUGCAGGCACCACCAGCACAGGAGACUGCAAUCAGGAGCAGGAACAUCCAGCUCCUCAUCAACCCCACAAAGCAACAGACCAUGUCAAAGAUUUGUAUAAAGCUGUUACAAGUACAUGUUCGGGGUUGGGGUUUUUUUAGCUGUUUCACUUGGAGUCUUGUUUGUAUCUCCUUCUUAGUGACCAGCUGAGCCUUCUCCAUGUUCAUGACAAGCAACCUGCAUUUAUGGCUCUUUAAGAAGGUUUGACCCCUGACCCCUCAAGGACUGGGACACACAACUGACAUGAGACCACACCAAGCAAAAAUGAGAUUCAGGAAAUGAUGCAAGUUUAAUUUCUGUUUGAAAUGUUCAGAAAUAUGGCACCUUGGAAAAGGAGAUUUUCCAGACCUGAGACUGGUCUCAGUAUAUGACUACUCAUAUUUUGUCUGGCUCAAAAUACAGG